rnacentral:rRNA from 1 species
UACGGAGGGUGCAAGCGUUAUCCGGAUUCACUGGGUUUAAAGGGAGCGCAGGCGGAUUUGUAAGUCAGUGGUGAAAGGCUCAAGCUUAACUUGGGAACUGCCAUUGAUACUAUAAGUCUUGAAUGUUGUUGAGGUUUGCGGAAUGGGUCAUGUAGCGGUGAAAUGCAUAGAUAUGACCCGGAACACCUAUUGCGAAGGCAGCAGGCUAAACAAAUAUUGACGCUGAGGCUCGAAAGCGUGGGGAUCAAACAGG